rnacentral:misc_RNA from 1 species
UACAGAGGGUGCGAGCGUUAAUCGGAUUUACUGGGCGUAAAGCGUGCGUAGGCGGCUUUUUAAGUCGGAUGUGAAAUCCCCGAGCUUAACUUGGGAAUUGCAUUCGAUACUGGGAAGCUAGAGUAUGGGAGAGGAUGGUAGAAUUCCAGGUGUAGCGGUGAAAUGCGUAGAGAUGUGGAGGAACACCAGUGGCGAAGGCGACUCUUUGGCCUAAUACUGACGCUGAGGUACGAAAGCAUGGGGAGCAAACAGG